AUAUUGCACGUUGAGUGUAGGUGAGAAGCUGCGUUCAGGUUCGAGCCGAGCGAAGCGAGACAGCGUUGCGCUUGCUGCAACGACCCGAAGGACUUAAAUCCUGCACGACCCAUCA
rnacentral:sRNA from 1 species